GAUGAACGCUGGCGGCGUGCCUAAUACAUGCAAGUCGAGCGAACAGACGAGGAGCUUGCUCCUCUGACGUUAGCGGCGGACGGGUGAGUAACACGUGGAUAACCUACCUAUAAGACUGGGAUAACUUCGGGAAACCGGAGCUAAUACCGGAUAAUAUAUUGAACCGCAUGGUUCAAUAGUGAAAGACGGUUUUGCUGUCACUUAUAGAUGGAUCCGCGCCGCAUUAGCUAGUUGGUAAGGAAACGGCUUAUCAAGGCAACGAUGCGUAGCCGACCUGAGAGGGUGAUCGGCCACACUGGAACGGAGACACGGUCCAGACUCCUACGGGAGGCAGCAGUAGGGAAUCUUCCGCAAUGGGCGAAAGCCUGACGGAGCAACGCCGCGUGAGUGAUGAAGGUCUUCGGUUCGGAAAACUCUGUUAUUAGGGAAGAACAAAUGUGUAAGUAACUAUGCACGGCUUGACGGUACUUAAUCAGAAAGCCACGGCUAACUACGUG
rnacentral:rRNA from 1 species